UACGUAGGGGGCAAGCGUUGUCCGGAAUCAUUGGGCGUAAAGAGCGUGUAGGCGGCUUGGUAAGUCCGCUGUGAAAGUCCAGGGCUCAACCCUGGAAAGCCGGUGGAAACUGUCGAGCUAGAGUCCGGAAGAGGCGAGUGGAAUUCCUGGUGUAGCGGUGAAAUGCGCAGAUAUCAGGAGGAACACCAAUGGCGAAGGCAGCUCGCUGGGACGGUACUGACGCUGAGACGCGAAAGCGUGGGGAGCAAACAGG
rnacentral:rRNA from 1 species